rnacentral:sRNA from 2 species
CUGCAUCUCGCCAGCUUUGUGGGUGUGGACAGGCGCUGGGUUGUCUGAAGCAGAAGCUUGAAUGGAUCCCGGUUUGUUAUCUUCUGCCAGACCAAUGUAGGUCUUAUUGCCUGCUUGAAUCCUCGUAACCUGGGGGGCCCCUCUUCCCCCUCCCCUUCCGCCAAAACCUAGCCAGCUGUUCGUCAGUUCGACCCCCCCAGGACAUACGUUGCAUGCUUUGAUUGAAAAUACUACUGUUUAGGCGGAGAAGUCCUGCAAUAUUCCAGGGCCUGCCCCUAUCCAUCCUGUCUACUAUAAUAGAGCUGCCCCUCCCAUAAAUACCCGCCGAUAUGGAGGCCAGGUCAGACAGCAGCAGCAAGAACAACAAUACCCAGCGGCUUUGCUCGUCCCUCCCCCCAAACCUGUGGCAUAAUCAUCCGUCCGCCAAUUCUCGUGGGCGCAACCGCCUGUUCGACCCUCCACUAACCACCUCUUCUCCUCUUGAUGAACCCAUUCUUGCACGUCGCACUGCAGGAUUGCGCCAACUGAAUGGCCUCCCGCGUCAGUUUCAGCGCAGCCAUAGGCAUACUACUUCUAUCUGUAGCAGAUCAUCUUUGCCCUCCCAGCCAGUGGUAGUUAGGACGUACUCUGCCGAAACUGAUGCUCAGACACAGCCAUCUGCCAUGUCACGAGGUACCUCCGCUGCAAACAGACCACCUGCCCAGCUGCCACCCGUCCAGGACUUCGGCAUUGACGGUAUUCUCAGAGCAAUUGAACCUGAUAUUCAAAGCACUUUGGAUGCAAUCGCUGAAAUAUGCGGGCGAAGCAAACUGAGUCUUGCUAACGAAUAUGGA